rnacentral:miRNA from 1 species
GUGGGUUUUUUCAAAAUUUUUU